GAAGCUGGCCAGACAGUCGCUGCGUCCGCAAGGGCGGAGAGGAAAGUCCGGGCUCCGCAGAGCAGGAUGCCGGUUAACGACCGGACGCCGCGAGGCGAUGGAAAGUGCCACAGAAAAUAUACCGCCAGUUUGUUUCGAUAGAUUGGUAAGGGUGAAAUGGCGAGGUAAGAGCUCACCGCGCUGGUGGCAACAUCAGUGGCAGGGUAAACCCCAUCCGGAGCAAGACCAAAUAGGCUGACCAUGACGUUGCUCGCGUCGUCAGCGGGUAGGUCGCUCGAGCGUCAGGUAACGAAACGCCUAGAGGAAUGACUGUCCACGACAGAACCCGGCUUACCGGCCAGCUUCACUU
rnacentral:RNase_P_RNA from 2 species